CCUACGGGAGGCAGCAGUGAGGAAUAUUGGUCAAUGGACGAGAGUCUGAACCAGCCAAGUAGCGUGAAGGAUGACUGCCCUAUGGGUUGUAAACUUCUUUUAUAUGGGAAUAAAACGUUCCACGUGUGGGAUUUUGUAUGUACCAUAUGAAUAAGGAUCGGCUAACUCCGUGCCAGCAGCCGCGGUAAUACGGAGGAUCCGAGCGUUAUCCGGAUUUAUUGGGUUUAAAGGGAGCGUAGGUGGAUUGUUAAGUCAGUUGUGAAAGUUUGCGGCUCAACCGUAAAAUUGCAGUUGAAACUGGCAGUCUUGAGUACAGUAGAGGUGGGCGGAAUUCGUGGUGUAGCGGUGAAAUGCUUAGAUAUCACGCAGAACUCCGAUUGCGAAGGCAGUUCACUGGACUGCAACUGACACUGAGGCUCGAAAGUGUGGGUAUCAAACAGGAUUAGAUACCCGAGUAGUC
rnacentral:rRNA from 1 species